CUAUACCUGGCAACUGGUUCACGCACACACCCUGGUCUUGCUUUACCUGGCAGCUGGGAA
rnacentral:tRNA from 1 species